rnacentral:rRNA from 1 species
AUUGAACGCUGGCGGCAUGCUUUACACAUGCAAGUCGAACGGUAACAGGCCGCAAGGUGCUGACGAGUGGCGAAUGGGUGAGUAAUGCAUCGGAACGUGCCCAGUCGUGGGGGAUAACUACUCGAAAGAGUAGCUAAUCCCCCAACGGAUCUAUGAAUGAAGCGGGGGGCCGGAAGGGCCCGCCCGAUUUGAACGGGCGAUGUCAGAUUAGGUAGUUGGUGGGGUAAAGGCUCACCAAGCCAACGAUCUGUAGCUGGUCUGAGAGGACGACCAGCCACACUGGGACUGAGACACGGCCCAGACUCCUACGGGAGGCAGCAGUGGGGAAUUUUGGACAAUGGGCGCAAGCCUGAUCCAGCAAUGCCGCGUGCAGGAAGAAGGCCUUCGGGUUGUAAACUGCUUUUGUACGGAACGAAACGGCUCUGGUUAAUACCCGGGGCUAAUGACGGUACCGUAAGAAUAAGCACCGGCUAACUACGUG